AGAGGAUGAAGUCAUAAAUGGGGUUGGAGAGGUAGCAGGGAGGGUGCAGGGCAGGUGGACCUUGUGGGCAAUGGAAGAACUUGGGCGUUUACUCUGUGGGAUGGGGAAUCUUGUGCAAGAUUUUGGCCCAGGAGAAGACUGAUUUGUCACUUUGGCUGCUGGCGUGAGAGUAGACUGCAAAGGCCUCAGGAAACUUACAAUCAUGGCAGAAGGUACCUCUUCACAGGGCGGCAGGAGAGAGAAUGAGAGAUCUGGUAUAAUGUGAGGAAAUAACUCUUCCAUUUGCCCCUGCAUCAACAAAUCAGAAAUCACAGACUCUGAGAACAUGGACAUCUACAAUGUGGACCCUUCACACUCUCAGGUUAUGGUUCCUGCAUGAAGCAGGUGUCUUUGCAGCAGGGCAGAGUCUUCCAUCCACAAAGAAUGAGAGGCUGGCUGAAGUGCUGCUGGCAGUAAAACACCCCGACAUCUUCAGCUUUCAAUCUGGAUGGCAAGGGAGAAGUAAAAGCCAGAGAACCACUUCCAUGGAAUCUGGGAGGGAUUCCAGCAGCCCAGGGAGAGUCCCCAAAGCUGGGCAGCCUGGGAGCCUCCUGGAGUUUCUGUUGGUACCAGGCCAUGGAGCUGCCUAUAUCUGUGCUGCUUCUACAGGUGAUGGAGAAAAAGUCAAUUCCAUAUGCUGCCAACAGACUCACCUCUGGAUGCUGUCAGAGUCUCUGGAGACUGAGUCAGGAUGAUCUGCCCCCUCCAUCCCGCUAGAACAACCUGUUCAGGCAGUGUAAUGCAUUGCUACUCCCAAAGGACUGGAAGAAACUGCCCUUAAAAGCCCCAUGCCAUGCUUAAGCAUGACAGAUAUUAGUACCCCUAGACCUUCCCACCUUUCCUGUGUGCAAGAGUCCACAUAAAAAUGGCUGGGGAGGAGUCCUCAGCACCAGGGCAACUAUGAAAGGGCACACAGCAUGGUGCAACCCUACCCUGAGGGGCCAAUGGGCAGGUUCAUUCUUCACAGCCUGACCAGGACCCCAAUGAGCCUCUCAAGAGAGGUAGACAUGGGAUGGGAGGAGGGACAGAGUCUCUGUGGUCCUAAGGGAGACGGGACAAAUUUAGGGCUGUGGGCCCCUCUGCCUCAUGGUAAGCCCUGGACUCUAUGCCUCAUUUUCCUAACAGAGAGUAAUGGCAAAUCACCUCCUUAUGUCACACUGUAAUUUCCAAAGAAUGUUUGAGCCUGUUAUUGCUGGGUUCAGGGCUAAAGUCUCUGCUCAUGAUCUGCAGUGGGAAAUGCACUCACCCUGAAAUCAUGUCACCAGGAGGCAGAAGAGCAGGGCCAGGAAGCACAUCUUGGAGUGUCCAGAGGACCUGCUGCUUCUGGACCUAAGGGCAAAGGAAGUGUGGUUGGGCAGAUAGUUCCUGUCAGAGCUGCUCUAGAAGCAGGGCCCAUGCCCCCAGGGUUAAAUAAACACAGGUUUCCUUUGAGUCAAUUUGCAUGCCUGAUGACCUGAACCAGUGCCCCUCUCCAGAAGCCUCACAGGGCAGUCAGGCUCACUCCACCUGCAGUUGCUAAGAGGUGGUGGAGGUGAUGGGGGUGCCUCAGGUCCCACAGAGGCUGAGGCUGGACUGAGCAGGGCCAGCGAUGCUGCCCCCGUUCACAGGGUUCCUCUCUAGAGGCUGGAGCAGAGGUCACCCCAAAGCCAACCAGAUGUCUGUAGAGAGGUCACUGGACACUGUGUUCCUUUGGAGAUGAGCUUGUUCUGCUUUAUGCUCUAAGUGGGUGCCAAGGAAACAGCUGCUCUGAGCCUAGACUAGGUAGUCAGAGAUCCCAGGAGCCCCCCAGCUCUCCUUUGUUCAAAGGGAGCCUCUGGGACCUGCUGGCAUCUUCCAUCGUGAGAAUCAGUUAGGAGACAGAUGCAAGAAGUGGGUGGAAAGUGGAUCUUCCUAACAGCAGUCAGCAGUAGCUGAGGCCAGGGGAGGGGCAAGUGGGCCAACAUUUGAUUUUUGUGUCCCAAGUAUUAGAAACAAUUGGACAUUAUACUCCUAAACUAGGAAUUUCUUCCAACUACUGGGUCAAGAUCUAAUUCUCAUACACUUUGCAAACAUCUCAAAAUACCUCAUAAACUUAACUCAG